AUCCAUUUGUAUUCCACUUCUAAAGUGGCUGGUGUUUCAGUCAUGGCCUGACUGGGCUGGGAAAAACAACAAAACAAUUUAAGGGAAAAAAGAAAUAGAGGUUUAUCAAAAUGGCCAUUUUGUUUUACUCUCCCUAUCUUUGUGUCUCUUAACAGAAGCUUGAUGUGUAGAUAGUAAGCAUAGAAAGCACAGACUAAAGUGACAUUUUCUCAAAGUGUCAGUCUGCUGUUAAAUACAGGGAGGAGACCUGUAAAAAGUGCUGUAACCUUUUUAUAAGGUUCUUCUUCUUGCAUGCGUAGAGAACAAUGCAAAUACGUUUUCAUUAGAAAUAUGCAAAUAAAAUAAAAUAUGUGAGACACUCAAAUGGGUGGACCAUACCGUUCAUUGUGUAACUUACAUAUAACUUACCUUAACGUUUUUCAUGUGUUUCCGUAAAAUGUAGAGUAUAAAUAUACAAAUCGCUGUAACUAGUAGCACCGCACCACAAAUAAACCACUUCUCUAGAGUCCUUUCUGAAAUGUCUAGGCCAAAAAUAAUACAGACAUUAAAUGGCUCUCUCUUCCACAGUUGCUCUCGUUCUUGAGAUGACAAAUCCAAGCCAGUUGUUGCCCAGGCUGGUUUUUCAUAACUGAGAACGUUCUGCAGGAAGACUACAGUCCCCAAGAGAAGCACAUAAGAGCAGGCUCCAAGAAAUAUUCUUACUGUAUAGUAGUCAACCAGAACUACUUCUGUUAGAGAAGCUUCAAUAUGAGAACAUCAGGCAUGGAGAAAUUCUAUGAGGUCAUAAAGGUCUCCUGAUCUUUAUAAGAAGUGGUCUAUGAUGUCACGAAUACAUCAAGGGAGCAGCCCGAGAGAGAGAGAGAGAGAGAGAGAAUUCUUGCACAUGGCAGGCUUUUAUGGCCAGACCACCGUAUGGUGCCCUCCAGCUGGCCUGGUUCUGCCCUGGCAAAGGGCUACUGAGUGCAGGUCUGCCUUUGACGCUGCCAAGGAGGCCCUCAUGACAUCACCAGGGGACAGAAUUGGCCGCCAUGGCAGAAGAUGUCCCAGAAGAAGUGAACAGGACUCUACCAGUGACCACCAUGAGGGAAGGAUGUUCCACUUUCACCAGAGCUGUGCCAAAGAAGGACCCCAGGACUGCUGGAGCCCUCACAAGGUAUGAGUGACUUCCCUGACUAACCCCACCACGGGAGGGAGGGGGGCUUAUAAUCUGUCCUUAGUUUCCCUAGGCACUCUCUCCUUUCCGUCUCCUCUGUUGGAGUGCUGGACCUGCCUGCAGUCACCAGGAGGCGCCGUGCUGUGAGGCGCAGAAGCUGUGCCCAGUUGCCCCCAGCUGCCAACUACAAAGGGGGGCCCAAGCUGCAGCCAAGAAAAGGCAGCCAAAUGGGAGUACUGCAUCACAGCCUCCAUCAUCCCCAGCCCUCACCACCUCCACCUUCAUGCUCCAUUUCCCAUGACUCCAGACCAAGGGACAUCUGUUUCAAACACCAUGGGAUCACCCACCACUGACUGAACCUCAGCUUUCACCUCUUCAAGCUCCUGCCCUCCAACAAAAAGGCACAAUCUGAUCUACCAAGGCAGAGGCCCUGCAUGCAGUGAAAUGUCGGGGCUUUGGGAAAUGUUCAUAGCCAUUUCCAAGCCCCGAAGGGGGGAAAAUGUGAUCGAGGUGACCUCCCCUCCAGGACUUUGUAAAAGAUAGUUCAAAAAUCAAGACUUUAUGUUCUAUAUUCCAUAUAUUAUAGUAGAAGGUGAUUGGGACUUUUUACUGGAGUUUACUGUGGAUUAUCCCUGCACUCUGAGGCAAGAGAUAACAACUUCAUGAAUUGUGAAAUCAUACUGUUAGGACUCCACUUCUAUAUUGGGUUCCCCAGAUGUUGUAAACUUCGUUUUUAUCAAAUGUUUUCUAUUGUUUAU
rnacentral:lncRNA from 1 species